rnacentral:rRNA from 1 species
UACGGAGGGGGCGAGCGUUAUUCGGAAUUAUUGGGCGUAAAGGGCGCGUAGGCGGCCUGGCAAGUCAAAGGUGAAAUCCCUCGGCUCAACUGAGGAACUGCCUUUGAAACUGCAAGGCUUGAGGCCGGGAGGGGGUAGCGGAAUUCCCAGUGUAGCGGUGAAAUGCGUAGAUAUUGGGAGGAACACCAGUGGCGAAGGCGGCUACCUGGACCGGUUCUGACGCUGAUGCGCGAAAGCGUGGGUAGCAAACAGG